UGGCGAACGGGUGAGUAACGCGUGAGGAACCUGCCUCAAAGAGGGGGACAACAGUUGGAAACGACUGCUAAUACCGCAUAAGCCCACGGGUCGGCAUCGACCUGAGGGAAAAGGAGCAAUCCGCUUUGAGAUGGCCUCGCGUCCGAUUAGCUAGUUGGUGAGGUAAUGGCCCACCAAGGCGACGAUCGGUAGCCGGACUGAGGGGUUGAACGGCCACAUUGGGACUGAGACACGGCCCAG
rnacentral:rRNA from 1 species